rnacentral:rRNA from 1 species
GACAGAGGAUGCAAGCGUUAUCCGGAAUGAUUGGGCGUAAAGCGUCUGUAGGUGGCCUCAAAAGCCUCCUGUCAAAGAUCAGGGCUUAACCCUGGGCCGGCAGGAGAAACUCUGAGGCUAGAGUUUGGUAGGGGCAGAGGGAAUUCCCGGUGGAGCGGUGAAAUGCGUAGAGAUCGGGAGGAACACCAAAGGCGAAAGCACUCUGCUGGGCCACAACUGACACUGAGAGACGAAAGCGAGGGGAGCAAAAGGG